UACGAGGGGGGCGAGCGUUGUUCGGAAUUAUUGGGCGUAAAGCGUGCGCAGGCGGUUUCGUAAGUCUGUCGUGAAAUCCCCGGGCUUAACCUGGGAAUGGCGAUGGAGACUGCGAGGCUAGAGUUUGGCAGAGGGGGGUAGAAUUCCACGUGUAGCAGUGAAAUGCGUAGAGAUGUGGAGGAACACCGAUGGCGAAGGCAGCCCCCUGGGUCAAAACUGACGCUCAUGCACGAAAGCGUGGGGAGCAAACAGG
rnacentral:rRNA from 1 species